rnacentral:lncRNA from 1 species
AGGUGCCAGUCAUCUCUGAGGUAUAGAAAUAGCUCCAUCUUCCUGGAAUCCAGUGUCUAGUGGAUUAUUCAUUUGGGACCUAAGUACCACUUCUGGAGGCCCCCUCCAACUGAGUAAACUGUCUUUGGAUCAGGCUUGGUUAGGUUCAACUGCAUGUAACUGCAAAUCCAAACGAAUAGAGCUUAAAAUAAGACUAGUGUUGAUUUUUCCAAUUUUAAAAAGAGAACUGGAGAUAGGCAGCUGCACAACAUCAGUGGGAAUUCUGUCUCCUUUCAGUUCACCAGCCAUCUGCUAUCCAUCAGAUGUGGCAAUAUCCUCAUGAUCUAAAGCAAUGGCUAGAGCUCCAGCCAUUCUAGGAUGCAGGAUGGAGGAAAGGAAGAAGAGCAUGUCACCUUCCUUUCAAGGAAAUAUCCUGUUGAAGAAGUCCGGCGCCGGAGGAAAGCCAGAGACCACGGAGACGCGGGCUUCGGCUUCCUAGAGAGGAAGCACGCGACACUUGGGCGCCGUGGCCGACGUGGUGACGCACUUCCGGUCAUGCCGCAGUGCGCCUUUCUUGAGGUGAGUUUUCAGGGUUCCCGAACCGACUGGGAACACACCUGUCACCGCUGGAAAAGGCAGUCGCCUUCGUCCUUGAUGCCGUGGUGGAAGGAGUCGGGUGGCGCCACCGGGUCCGGGGAGCGAGGGCGGCCUGCUGGCCAGUUCCGCUUGCCCUCGCCCUCGGUGCCUUCAUCCCAACCCUCCGGGGCCGCCCCCGGAAAUGGGGCUGUGGAUGGAAAGAACACGCCGUUUGACUAGACACAGCCGUAACCUCCCCUGCCCCCUGGGCCGAAGACUUCUCACAGAGCAGUUAAAUGCCAGCUGCUGUUCUAGGUUCCCAAGAUGCAGCUGCGAAUGAGACGGCCUUGGGCCCCUCUCUCAGGGAGCUUUCAGUUUAAUGGAAAGUCACCUAUUAAUCCAGUGGUAUCAUUUCAUCAUUUCACUCCACCUAACCCGAACCAGUAGUUGUGGUCUUGGUUUUACGUUGAAGACCAAGUCCUUGACGUGCAUGAGGCUCUGCGUGACUUGGUCUCUUGCACCUUCUUCACACUCAUAUUCACACUCCCCUUGGCUCGGCUACAGACUUUAACUUUACAAACAUGCAUUUGCACGUGCUGUUACUUUUGUAAAGAUUUUCCUUUUGAUCUAGUUAAUUCCUAUUCUUAAGCGUCCCCAUCUACCAUAAAUUGCCCCCGACGCUAAUCACAAUUGUGGCCUUAAAAGCUAAUUAUGAGAAUCUUUGAUUGAUACCUGUGUUUCCUUUAGUCUAAAGUAAACUCCAUGAUGGAAGGGAUCACACCUUUCUUCACUGUAUCUCCCGUGCCUCACACUUGGCCUGAAAUGAAUUAAGCCUGUGAUAAAUGUUUGUUGGAUGAAGAAAACACAAAUAAGUGUAUAAUCCAAACCAGAAGAGGUGGUAUGUAAGAAAGGGAAUACAGUGCUAGUGGAGUGUGUAAUCUCAGGCCUGAUCUGGUGUGUAGAGACAGGCUAGGAUCUGAAGGGUGAACUGGUGUUAUCUAGAGAGGCCAGGCUGCUAGAGAGUUCUGCACCAGAGAACAUCAGGUACAAAAGUUCUAAGGUUGGAGAAGAGUGGUUCAUGCAGAGGAAACAGCAGGUACAAAGGUCCUGAGCUAGCAUAGUAGAGAAACUGAAGGGAGACCACCGUGGCUAAAUUAAGAGAAAGGAGAAGAUGGUAUAAGAUGAGGCUAGCAGGAAAUUGCAGUAUGCAGUGAGUUUCUUUUAGAAAGAUGCUGGCUUUUUGGUAGAACAUGACUGCUUGACAAGAAUUCAGUGUCUCUAGGGGAUGAUAUAAUUAAAGUAAUAACCUGAACAUCUUAGUAUGUUGAAGUGGCCUUUUCAUGGUCCUUUGCUAAUUGGUUUCGGGCUUUCACUGGAUCCUAGAAUGGAGUGAUGAACAAAAAAUAUGCUUGCCACAAGGUCCAAGAAAGAGAAACCUUACUCUGAGAUUCUUUUUCUGAAAUUUUUUGGUCUACAUUUACCUAUUCUUAAUAUUAGCCUUAGAAUUGCUUUAUUAAGUUCUUAAAAAAAUUCGAUUGGGAUUACAAUGGGAAGCAUUUUGUUGUAGUUAUUAAAAGCAUGGACUUUAGAAUCUGGCCUAUCUGGUUUGGGAUCCAGGUUCAUCCUUCCACUGGCCGAGUGACCUUGGUAGAGAAAACUAUUUUCUUAGACUCUUUUUUUCUUAUUUGAGAAAAAGAAAAAGUUCAAAGGAUUAUUGUGGAGACUGAAUGAGAAGGUGUGUAUUUUUCAUCCAAAAACAUAUUUCUAUUUUUUUCUGAUUUUUAAAAUUUUUUUAAUAUUUUUAAGAAAAAUAGAUUUUUUAUUGCUCAGUCGUUUCAGAUUCAUCUGACUUACAAACUAAUAACAUAAUGUUCAAAUACAAUUUAAUGUUUUUUUCUGAUUUUUUAAAGUUUCCUGUUGUUAUGGUUUGCUUUGAGUUUUCUGGUGUCUUUUGCUUGUUUUGCUCUUUGCGUAUUCAUGUUUCCCUGUCUUCAUGUCUUAGGACAGGCAGUGUUGAAUGAUGGUGGUGAGUACAGGGUGCCCAAGGGCAGGUUACAUACCUUUCAAAUUAACGGUUUCCUCAGAAUUCAAACCUUGAGGAAUAGUGUGGAGUAAAAGAGGAGAUAUUUAUAUACCAUUUACUGAAGGACAUUUAGUAAGUGAUUGCAGCUGCUGUUAUUGGCAGGUUAUUUUAAAGGAGAGCCUUUGGGGACUUCCCACUGUGGCUCAGCGGUAAGGAACCUGACUAGUAUCCAUGAGGAUGUGGGUUCGAUCCCUGGCCUUGCUCAGUGGGUUAAGGAUCUGGUGCGCUGCCCCAAGCUGCGGUGUAUGUUGCAAAUGUGGCUCAGAUCCACUGUUACUGUGGCUGUGGUGUAGGCUGGCAGCUGUAGUUCCGAUUCGAUGCCUAGCCUGGGAACUUCCAUAUGCC